UUUGCUUGAUCAAAAAACUACUAAAAAUGGCAUUAAUUUUAAAAUUUCCCUAUUUGUAAAGAAAAUUAUUAUUGAUGUAUGCGCUUGGUUACAAGGAAAUGCGCAUACAGUGACUAAUUAAAAACUAUAUUAAAAAAAGACACAAAGUUGAAGGAAAAAGGAAGAAGGGACAAGAGAGGCAGACAAAACAAAUGAAAAUUAGAAAGAAAAACAAAAAUGUACAAUCGAUUGACGAAUCUUCCUUUCGGGUUUUCAUAGAGUUAAUUUCUUUGAUGGUUUUCGAAGUUGCUGUAUCCAAUAGCUGAAGGAUUUUAAAGAAUGGGUAAGUUGUCAAAAUACAAGAUUAAAGACAAUACAUAUUC